rnacentral:tRNA from 1 species
GCCUGGGUGGCUCAGUCGGUUGAGCAUCUGACUUCGGCUCAGGUCAUGAUCUCACAGUUUGUGAGUUCGAGCCCCACAUCAGGCU